AAUAGGUCACUAGGGUUCCGGUCUGGCAACAGGCGCUGGUCCGAGAGUGGCCGACCGCCCUCUGGCGGUUACACGGCGGGAUAAAAGCCCGGGAGG
rnacentral:sRNA from 1 species